UACGUAGGUGGCAAGCGUUGUCCGGAUUUACUGGGCGUAAAGAGCGCGCAGGCGGUCGAAUAAGUCGAAUGUGAAAGCCCCCGGCUUAACUGGGGAGGGUCAUUCGAUACUGCUCGACUUGAAGGCAGGAGAGGGUAGUGGAAUUCCCGGUGUAGUGGUGAAAUGCGUAGAUAUCGGGAGAAACACCAGUGGCGAAGGCGACUACCUGGCCUGUUCUUGACGCUGAGGCGCGAAAGCUGGGGGAGCAAACGGG
rnacentral:rRNA from 1 species